CCAGCUUACCCUGAGCUCCGUCUUCCCGGAGCCUAAGGACUCUGGCUGCCGCUUCUACGGCCCUCAGGGCCCCGGCUGUGAGUCACCCGGGCCCGCAGACCCCGGCGUGGGGCUGGGACCCUCGGAAAGAGCGGGGGAUGGGCGAGGUGGUCCCCAGGGCCGGGAGCUUGGGAACCACCCUGUUUGGGGCUGGGCCUGGACACGGGGAUCUGCCAGACCCAUCCCGUGCCACGACCUCUGACCCCUGAGUGAGUCACUCCCAGGCUGGGAGGGGCCGGGGCCCCAGGCCGCCUCCUCACCGCCGGUUUGGGGGGAUUUUCAGGGGGGCAGGGAGUGAGCAGUUCCGGUGCAAAGGAGCCCUGAGGACCCCUGGGAAGGCCCAGCCCCUCUCCCAAGGCCGGCCUUCCUUCCCCAUUCCCACGUCCCCCCACGUGGCCCCCAGGCACCCCCCAACGGCCACACUGACCCCACGCAGCCGGUCCACCCUGGGGUUCCCCAGCUCUUCCCAGCAGCACCAACCCAACCACAGCCCACACCCGACGGCCACAGCCUCCAAACCACAAAGGCUUCGGCAGGGGAGGGGGCGCUGUCCUCCCCGGGCACCGGGCCAAGGACAGGGAGCGUCCAGGGGAGGUUCUGCGUGUCCGCAGAUCCUGUUCCCAUCACAGCCAGAGGGCGGACGGCGGUGGACCUGAGGUGGGGGCCUCGGGGGCCGACGUGGCAGUCAGGCCCCCUCUGCUCGAGAGAGCUUUGGCUCGUGACCCUGCCCUGUGGGCUCUGACCCUCCCCACCUGUAAGAUGGGCGCCAUCAACUGUAGUCCGGAAAGCUAACGUGGGACAUGACACCCAGAACCGGGAAGAAUGGCCACUCAGAAUCAACACGCUUUCCUCCAAGGUGUUUCCAAAGACGGGGUGUGGGAAGGGACCCUCCCAUACCUCCUGCCCACUCUGCUGGGCCCCUGCCACUGAGGCCCCGAAGACCAGCUCCAAGACCAUGGGCAAAAAGGACAUGGGGGGGGGGGGGAAUCCUGUCACAGGUCAAGGUUAACACGGAGCCUUGGAGACACCACCUCCACUCCACACCUGUCCUGGGGGCAGAGGGCUUCCUUCUCCGUGCUCCCCUUAGAAGCUCGGUCUCCACCCUUGACCUAGCUCUGUCCCCCAGGGCCCACCGCCCCUUCUCGGGCACCACAUGGGCAAACCACCGGCUCUCCAAGGCCGCCCCCUGCCAACCUCCUCCCCUCCCUGCUCCCCCUGCUCAUCUCUGGCCCCGGGCGAUGGCCUGGGUGCCCUCCACAUGCUCCUUCGCGCAUCGCCCACCCGACGGGGGUCUCCGGAGCGCAGGAGGAGAUCCUGGGCUAGAGGAACAGCCUGAGCCUGCGCGGCGGCUGCCCCCCAGCCCCCAGCAGAAAUCAGCGGGCGGGUCACCGAUAAGCACCCCACGUCGUAACGUUCAAGUCCCCAGUAGCCCCACUUAAACAUCGUCUGGAGUCCAGCGUGCACUGUGCACUUAGGUGACCCCCCGACCUGGACCAGCCACGUGUCAGUGGUCAGUGGCUGCCGUGGCCGGACCACGUCCUGGACAGCGCCUCUCACGACAUUCUCGACUUCCCCCUGGUCACACCGGACGCCGGGACUCAUCCUGCCUUUGUUUACGGACUUCAAAGUCACAGACGGCCUCACUGAUGAGAAAAGAAUCUAUGAAGACAGAAAGCAGAUUGAGGCUGCCAAGCGGGGGGUGGAGGGGGGGUGGGAACCAACUGCUUAAUGGACACGGCGCUUCCUCUGGAGGUGAUGAGAAAGUUCUGGAACUACAGCUUGGUGAUGUUGCCCCGCACUGUGAACGUGCUAAGUCUUACGAACGGUAGAGCUCACGUUCUGCGUGUUCGAUGUCAUAAAAAACUAUUUAAAGGGGA